AUUGAACGCUGGCGGCAGGCCUAACACAUGCAAGUCGAGCGGAUGAAGGGAGCUUGCUCCUGGAUUCAGCGGCGGACGGGUGAGUAAUGCCUAGGAAUCUGCCUGGUCGUGGGGGAUAACGUCCGGAAACGGGCGCUAAUACCGCAUACGUCCUGAGGGAGAAAGUGGGGGAUCUUCGGACCCCACGCUAUCAGAUGAGCCUAGGUCGGAUUAGCUAGUUGGUGGGGUAAAGGCCUACCAAGGCGACGAUCCGUAACUGGUCUGAGAGGAUGAUCAGUCACACUGGAACUGAGACACGGUCCAGACUCCUACGGGAGGCAGCAGUGGGGAAUAUUGGACAAUGGGCGAAAGCCUGAUCCAGCCAUGCCGCGUGUGUGAAGAAGGUCUUCGGAUUGUAAAGCACUUUAAGUUGGGAGGAAGGGCAGUAAGUUAAUACCUUGCUGUUUUGACGUUACCAACAGAAUAAGCACCGGCUAACUUCGUG
rnacentral:rRNA from 1 species